rnacentral:tRNA from 1 species
AGCUUAGUGGUCAAAGCAUUGGUGCGUAAAGCCAAAGAGCCCGGGUUCGAUUCCCGG